rnacentral:rRNA from 1 species
GCUGGCGGCAUGCUUAACACAUGCAAGUCGCACGGAGGUUUUCGGACUUCAGUGGCGGACGGGUGAGUAACGCGUAGGGAUCUAUCCACGGGUGGGGGAUAACUCCGGGAAACUGGAGCUAAUACCGCAUGACACCUGAGGGUCAAAGGCGCAAGUCGCCUGUGGAGGAGCCUGCGUUCGAUUAGCUUGUUGGUGGGGUAAAGGCCUACCAAGGCGAUGAUCGAUAGCUGGUCUGAGAGGAUGAUCAGCCACACUGGGACUGAGACACGGCCCAGACUCCUACGGGAGGCAGCAGUGGGGAAUAUUGGACAAUGGGGGCAACCCUGAUCCAGCAAUGCCGCGUGUGUGAAGAAGGUUUUCGGAUUGUAAAGCACUUUCGGCGGGGACGAUGAUGACGGUACCCGCAGAAGAAGCCCCGGCUAACUUCGUGCCAGCAGCCGCGGUAAUACGAAGGGGGCUAGCGUUGCUCGGAAUGACUGGGCGUAAAGGGCGUGUAGGCGGUUUGGACAGUCAGAUGUGAAAUCCCCGGGCUUAACCUGGGAGCUGCAUUUGAUACGUCCAGACUAGAGUGUGAGAGAGGGUUGUGGAAUUCUCAGUGUAGAGGUGAAAUUCGUAGAUAUUGGGAAGAACACCGGUGGCGAAGGCGGCAACCUGGCUCAUUACUGACGCUGAGGCGCGAAAGCGUGGGGGAGCAAACAGGAUUAGAUACCCUGGUAGUCCACGCUGUAAACGAUGUGUGCUGGAUGUUGGGUAACUUAGUUACUCAGUGUCGUAGCUAACGCGAUAAGCACACCCGCCCUGGGGAGUACCGGC